GACGAACGCUGGCGGCGUGCUUAACACAUGCAAGUCGAGCGGAGCGUCGAACGGGUGAGUAACGCGUGAGUAACAGCCCCCCUCCCUGGGAUAACAGUUGGAAACGGCUGCUAAUCCCGGAUAGUGGGGGAUGACGCGCGUCCUAUCAGCUUGUGGGUGGGGUAGUGGCCUACCAAGGCGACGACGGGUCGCCGGCCUGAGAGGGCGACCGGCCACAUUGGGGUGAGAGAGGGCCCAAGCGCCUACGUGAGGAAUGAGUGGAGAAUAGUGCGCAAUGGGGGGCACGCGGGUGCAGCAACGCGGGUGGGGGAGGACGGCCUUCGGGUUGUAAACCGCUUUCAGCCAUGACGCGGUAGUGGAAGAGGAAGCACCGGCUAACUACGUGCCAGCAGCCGCGGUAAUUC
rnacentral:rRNA from 1 species